rnacentral:rRNA from 1 species
UACGUAGGGGGCUAGCGUUGUCCGGAAUCAUUGGGCGUAAAGAGCGUGUAGGCGGCCCGGUAAGUCCGCUGUAAAAGUCAAAGGCUCAACCUUUGAAUGUCAGUGGAUACUGCCGGGCUAGAGUCCGGAAGAGGCGAGUGGAACUCCUGGUGUAGCGGUGGAAUGCGCAGAUAUCAGGAGGAACACCGAUGGCGAAGGCAGGUCUCUGGGCCACACCUGACGCUGAGACGCGAAAGCUAGGGGAGCGAACAGG